rnacentral:rRNA from 1 species
UACAGAGGUCCCAAGCGUUGUUCGGAUUCACUGGGCGUAAAGGGUGCGUAGGUGGUGAGGUAAGUCGGAUGUGAAAUCUCCGAGCUCAACUCGGAAAUGGCAUUGGAAACUACCUUGCUGGAGGGUUGGAGGGGGGACUGGAAUGCUUGGUGUAGCAGUGAAAUGCGUAGAUAUCAAGCGGAACACCAGUGGCGAAGGCGAGUCCCUGGACAACACCUGACACUGAGGCACGAAGGCCAGGGGAGCAAACGGG